UGGGGAAUUUUGGACAAUGGGCGCAAGCCUGAUCCAGCCAUUCCGCGUGCAGGAUGAAGACCCUCGGGUUGUAAACUGCUUUUGUACGGAACGAAAAAGCCCUUUCUAAUACAGAGGGUCCAUGACGGUACCGUAAGAAUAAGCACCGGCUAACUACGUGCCAGCAGCCGCGGUAAUACGUAGGGUGCAAGCGUUAAUCGGAAUUACUGGGCGUAAAGCGUGCGCAGGCGGCGAUGUAAGACAGGUGUGAAAUCCCCGGGCUUAACCUGGGAACUGCAUUUGUGACUGCAUCGCUGGAGUGCGGCAGAGGGGGAUGGAAUUCCGCGUGUAGCAGUGAAAUGCCUAGAUAUGCGGAGGAACACCGAUGGCGAAGGCAAUCCCCUGGGCCUGCACUGACGCUCAUGCACGAAAGCGUGGGGAGCAAACAG
rnacentral:rRNA from 1 species